AGUGAUAGGUGGUGGUGUCAGAGGUGCUAGCGGUGAUAGGUGGUGUUGGGUAAUCUGUGGAAAAUCUUGAGAAGGGGAAACUCAAAUGGUUCCAUUUCCAAAUAUGAAAAUGGAGAGAUGCAAGUAUGAGAUCAGAAUAGGGGAAACAUGAUAAAAGAGUAAAAUAGAGACUGAACUUGGUCGGUGUCUUGCAGUCGAUCUCCUCUGAAACUGGAGAUGUCUAGGACUUUCCGAAGGAGUUGCCGGAGCAUUGAAGUCGCUCGUUGUGGGUGGGGACGGUAGAUAUGAGAUGUACUGAAGAAGAAGAAGAAGAAAGGGAGGGUUAGACGAGUGAUUAAAUGUACCGGCCCAUUUUUUUUUUAAAUGAAAUAAUAUUUAUUUUGUAUAAUUAAAAAAUCAAUAUAUAAUUAAUAAAUAACAAGUAAAUAGAAAAUAAAUCAAAAAAUAAAUAAAUAAGGGUAAAAUGGUCUUUUUAUGUGCAGAGGGACUAAGCAAGCAAGAAAAAACAAAACAAGGGACGGUCCGAGUUAAUUUUUAAAAGUAGGGACUAAACACGCUUUCUGACAUAUGCACGAGGGACGAUCGGUGUAAUUUACCCUUAUUAUUAUUAUUAUUAUUAUUAUUAUUAUUAUUAUUAUUAUUAUUAUUAUUUUCUUAAAUGAAUUAUUUUCAAUGAUUCAUUUCACUUGUGUAAAAAG
rnacentral:lncRNA from 1 species